UCAGAUUUUUUUCUUUCACUGGUAGUCAGUAUUUUAAUUUUGGGUUUUGGAGUGUGUUACUGUGGCCGUGAAUCUCCUUGUCUUUUGUGAACUUUUUAAAGACAUUAUUACAGAGCAUAUUUCUUCAUCUCUCAUUUCUCAGUGCAUUUUCAGAUCAUUUAAGUAGUACAGUAAAUAAUACUGCUGCCUUGUAAAUUUUGCCACCCUGUUCUCUCCCUCCACCCUCUCCAUCAUGCUUUUCUGAUGAUCGAUGCCAUCUCACAGACCUCGGCUGUGCAGAGGAAAUCAUUCUGCUUCUCUGCAUUGUCUUCCUUAGCCUUUGUUGGUCACCUAAUUCAGCAAACUCAUCACUUCUCACACAAAAGAAGCUUCCUACUUUUGUUGUACUUAAGAAAUAUCUGGUUGUGAGAUCAUUGGAAAGCAUUUUGGAAAAAACACCUGUGAGUUUAAGAUAUGUACAGAACACAGCAAUGGAAAAACAUACUAAAGAGUCAACAGACAAAAUCAGUCAUAAUUUGCCAGUUUGUUUAAUUUUAUGUAUUGGUACAAGUCAUAGUGCCAGAUAUUUUCCUUUAAUUUUGCAGCACAGCUAUAAAUUUUGCUAUAUCUAAUUGCAGCAAACUUUUUCUGCUCAGCAAUUUUAUUUAUUCUUGCUGAGCAAGUAGUGUGUUUAUAUGAAAAAUACUUUUAUAUAUAAAUUUGGUUUAUGGAUGUUUAAGGGCUUACAAUUUUCCCUUUAAACUCGAGCUUAAUUUUUUAUGUGUUUUUUUUAAUGGAAAGAUUUUAUGGCCAACACAUGCCCCAUGAGAAAAGGAAGAAGUUACAGAUGGUCCAGAGUAGAGGGUCUGUUCCAUACAUAAAAACUUCAUGUCAGCAUUUCAACAGAGCAGUUUCUUAGGGUAUCUCUGUUAUCACUGACACUUUCACAUUGACAAGCAUAUGGGAUGUAGUGCUGAAUGUGUAAAUUGAAAUGAUCACAUCUAGCAUUUCUCUGUACCAGGUGCCAGCUUGCUGCUGCAGCUCUGCACUUAAUGUUGAAGGAGGAGUGCUAGGAAUAGUUGCAUUUGCUAAUUACCUCUUAUCUCCAGCACAUAGUCCUUGGGCAAACAGCUUACCCAGGUGUUUUUGAGAACACCUAUCUGGACAGUACAGGACUGCAGGUGGUCCUGUGGUGACAAUACAGAGUGCAGAACAUGUAAGAAAUCUCCAUCCAUCUGUGCACGAGGGUUUUUUUCUCUCUUU